AACGAACGCUGGCGGCAUGCCUAACACAUGCAAGUCGAACGAUGCCUUCGGGCAUAGUGGCGCACGGGUGAGUAACGCGUGGGAACCUGCCCUGUGGUACGGAAUAACUCCGGGAAACUGGAGCUAAUACCGGAUGUGUCCCCUGGGACAAAGAUUUAUCGCCACGGGAUGGGCCCGCGUAGGAUUAGCUUGUUGGUGGGGUAACGGCCUACCAAGGCUACGAUCCUUAGCUGGUCUGAGAGGAUGAGCAGCCACACUGGGACUGAGACACGGCCCAGACUCCGACGGGAGGCAGCAGUGGGGAAUACUGGACAGUGGGCGGAAGCAUGAUCCAGCAAUGCCGCGUGAGUGAUGAAGGCCUUCGGGUUGUAAAGCUCUUUCGCACGCGACGAUGAUGACGGUAGCGAGAGAAGAAGCCCCGGCUAACUUCGUG
rnacentral:rRNA from 1 species